GCUGAUGGAGACUCCUUUCUUUAAAUCAAAUGGAUACCUUCAGAUCAAAAGGAGUUAUUCAAAGAGGAGAUGGCAUGGAAGAAAAAGAACAAAAUACUUUUCAUUUUUCUCUCUCACAAAAUAGGAACUAGAAAAUCCUAGAACCCCACCCUAGAUCUCACACCCCAAAGAGGAUCUUCUUCCUCUUUUUCUCAAGUACAGACACCCACCCUUCUCUCUCAAUUUCUCAUGCACUCUUUGAGGUUUUCUAAUGCCAAAUCUGAAGUAGUUUAGUGCAUAAAAAAUCACCCUUCUUAAAGGUGGUGUCCCAUGUAGAGUUUGGAUAAUCUGGUUCAGCUUCAAAACAGUCUUUGAUCUUAUCAUGGAUUCAAAUCAAAUUUGAACUCCUUUUUAAAUAAAAUUUAAUCCACACAUAAGGGAC
rnacentral:lncRNA from 1 species